rnacentral:lncRNA from 1 species
UGCCGAGAGACCCACCCCCCCACACCUUGCCUCUCUUCAAGGAGCCGAAAAUGCAGCUGCCGACUGAUUUGCUGCGGAGCUAAAAAUAACUGCCGGGCUCCAGCCAGGGCCCAGGAAAAUAUCCCAUUGCUAGGAGACAACCGUUGCCGGGAGAUCCCACCGCCCAUGGCACUCAGGGCACCCCUAACGGCUGUGAGGUUCUCAUGCCUAUGGGUGCCCAUUCUGGCUGUGGAGGGGUCGGGACGGCCAAACAUACCCACAGCCUGCUGCUUCACAUGGAUGAUCCUGGGUGCUCUCGGGCUGUGCUCCGGGCAGGGGGCAGGGGCAGUGUGGGGGAGAUGGUGGCAUGGCCAUGUGGCCCCCGGAGCAAUCACUUUGCUCUCCAGUGUGGGGCUAUCACCACAGGUGCAGAGCUGAAGUGAAUGUGGGUCCCCUUGCAGUCCUCCAAAGUCUCAGGGCAAGAUGUACCAGCAGCCUCUGGUCCUCAUCCCCAUGGCUCCAGAGUGCCCUCCCAACCACCUAGAUGGGAGACUCCUCAGUGCUGAGGCAUCAAGGCAAGGGGUGGUCCCGGUGAAGUAUGCUCCUGGUAGGGGUUCUGCAGGAGAGGGGCUCUCCAGGUGAGGGGUGCUCCAGGUGAGGGGUGCUCCAGGUGAGGGGGUGCUCCAGAUAAGGGUGCUCCGGGUAACAGGGUGCUCCAGGUAACAGGGUGCUCCAGGUGACGGUUCUCCAGGUGAGAGGGUGCUCCAGAUGAGGGUUUUCCAGGUGAGGGUGCCCCGGGUAACAGGGUGCUCCAGGUGAGGGUUCUCCAGGUGAGGGGUGCUCCAGGUGCCCUCCGGAGCCCAGGCACAUACCGCCUCCCAUAUCAGUCUCCAGGACCAAUGGAGGGGUGCGGGCCUGAGCGGUAUCCACAUCCCCCAGAGGAGAUCGAAGUCUGCUGAGCAGCCCCCUUUGUCCAAGCCACUUCCCUCUGGGGUGUGAGCUGUUCUCCAAAGGUAUCCUCUACAAGGGCCUCCCGCCACAGGAGGCGAUCCAAACUGCUGGUGCCAGUCACCUUUCAUGCUGCUGACGCAUCGUUGUCUCCCUCAUUCGCCAAAUUUGCCAUGCACCUGUGACGUACUGAGCUGGAGGCUCAGUGCCCAGGGACAGGGUGGUGGGGAAGAAGACUGCACCCUGGCCCUCAGCAGGCACAGUCAGCCAAUAGCUCAUCAAACGCACCAUCAGACACCAGGCAGACACAGGCUGAGAAAAGAAGGUCCUUGGUGCUGGGGAGGUGAGGACACGGGUCUGUGGCCCUGUCCACCUGAGGGAGGGCACCUAGGGGAGAAUACAUUAGCCAAGGUCUGAAAGGCAAGUAGUCACCCAGGUACAGGUGGCAAGGGAGUGCUCCAGGCAAGGGGCCAGGAGAGGAGUGCUCCAGGCAAGGGGUGCUCUAAGGGAGGGGUGCUCCACACGAGGAAAUGCUCCAGGAAGGGGUGCUCCAGGGGAGGGGUGCUGCAGGGGAGCUCCAGGUGAAGGGAGGGGUGCUCCAGGUGAGGGGUGCCCCAGGUGAAGGGUGCUCCAGGUGAAGGGAGGGGCGCUCCAGGUUAGGGAUGGGGCACUCUCCUGGCCCCAGAAGAAGGCCAGUGUGGCUGAAGCUUCAUCCUCAAGGGGCCAGGUAUAGUGCGAGGCUGUGGGCCAGCCGUGCCAGGCACUCAGGGCUGUGCAGUCUUCAGCAAAGAAGGGACAGGGCCCUGGGAAGAACAGGACCAUGUCUGCACGGCAAAAUGACCCCGCUGCACCCUGGGGAGAAAAGGAGAUGGGACAGGGGUGGAGAGACCAGUGGGGAAGUAGCUGCCACCAGCCAUGGUGGAGACAGGCAAAGUUGCCCGGCACAGGUGGGGUGACAGAGGUGGAGGGUAGGUGGGUCACAGCUUUGGAGGAGCACGGCUGGCCUUUCUGUGAUGAUCUUCCACACACUCUUCCCUGCUCACAUUCCCCACAGGCAGGGCUAGCUUCUUGGGCCUCACCAGGGUUGCAUGACCCAAAUGCCUGACUCCCACG